rnacentral:misc_RNA from 1 species
GUGAAUCAUCGAAUCUUUGAACGCAUAUUGCGCCCGCGGCUUCGGCCAAGGGCAUGUCUGCCUCAGCGUCGGGUUAAUACUCGCCCCAUACAUUCCAUUUACUUGUGAAUGCAUAAGGGACGGAUCUGGCUGUCUCAGUUCUCUAUAAAGGGCUGGGUUGGCUGAAGUGCAGAGGCUUAUUCAAGGACCCGUCAAGGGCCGCAGCUGGUUAGGCAGUGAUGCUGAUACGAUUAGCUGUUGGUCUGGGACCCGGAUGAGCCCUCAACAAGGAAACUCAUUACUUAUUUCCUCGACCUGAGC